GCACCCGUAGCUCAGGGGAUAGAGCACUGGUUUCCUAAACCGGGGGUCGCAAGUUCGAAUCUUGCCGGGUGUA
rnacentral:tRNA from 1 species